AGAUGACGAGGUCGAUAGGUCCGAGGUGGAAGCGUGGCGACACGUGGAGCUGACGGAUACUAAUCGAUCGAGGGCUUAACCAA
rnacentral:rRNA from 1 species